rnacentral:lncRNA from 1 species
CGCAUAUUUUAUUAGGGGAAAAUUUGACUUUUUAAUCGAGAAAGAAUUUGGGAAUUUCGCUUACGCCAUUGCGUAGAGCGCGGCGAAAGGAGUUCGUAGACACGGAGUAGACCCGAAUUGGAGCUGUAACGAAGAAGUUAUGGUCUAAAACCCGCGAAGGGCAAAAUGGUAAUUUGGCCAAAAGUCAGAUUUUAUACCCCCUCUCUCUCUUCUCCCCGUCACUUUCUCUCUCCUCCCUCUCUCUCCUUCGCGCGAUUUGGGUCGUGCGACCCUUCGCCUUCCAAGGGACGGUCCCGCCACCACAGGCCGAGCCGAUCUCCGCCGUGGGUACCUACGGGUCCGCCUUCGUGUCGCCGUCACAACCUGACCGACCUCAACCCCGGGGCCGCCCUGAGCUGGCCGGAAAAUUAUGUUUUCCGGCGGAGGUUCCUCCGAAGCUACCCAAACUUCCAGCUCGAAAUUCUCCUUCGUUUCUCCACCAAAUCGAUCGAGUAAGGCACCAGGAGCCCGACAGGAUUUUAAAAGGAGACCUCCGAGGGAUCGAAGUAGCUCGGACCAUCUGUGAGUGGACCUUCUUUCAUAAAUCAGAUUUCAUGAAUGAGUUAAUGUGCUUUUAUAUGAAUUGAUGUGCAUUUAUAUAAAUAAAUUUUAUAAAUGAUUUUAUAUAAAUGAGUUUUAUAAAUGAGGUUAUUUGAGUAAGUUUCUUCAGUCAGUCUUUGAGUAAGUUUUAUUACGAUUUUGAACAUGAUCAGUACAAUAUUAGUUCUAUAAGUCGGUGCUGCUUAUUUACCAGUUACAGAAACAGAGUUUGAGUUUUGAAUCAGUUGAGACCGCAGCACGACUUGCGUUUUCCGGUUAUUAUUCAGAUAUUUCUUUUUAAAAGGACAUUAUUUUAAAACCACCUCGUACCCGUUUUUCUUUAUGGUGAUUACCCAGAGUCGGACCGAUGUCUACGGACAUCCAGUCUGAUUAUAGUUCAGUCAGUGCACUUGACUUGCCUCACGAGUUUCGGGGACGCUCGGACCGUGAGUGCCAGGAUUUGCGGCUCGGCAGACUUGGUGUCCCGAGACCUGCCAGGAUUGCGGCUCGGCUGACUUUAUGUCCCCGAGACCUGCCAGGAUUGCGGAUCAGGCCUGACUACGGUCCCCUGCAUCCUGCCAGAGCGACUCGAGUUGACUUGGUGUCAUCGAGGAAUCUGCCGGCGGGACAGGCUGAUCAUAGUCCCCUGAUUUCGCCAGUUUGCGGCUCGGGUAAGUCUGUGUGACGCCCGAGACCUGCCAGGGAAUUGACGGAAGUGACAGGGGUACAUACUGGUGGUAUUUUCAAAGGAUUCUGAGUUUCUUUAUUAAAUAUUGAUUUUCAGCUACUAUAAAUCAAUUUUUCUGAUUUUUCGGACAUAGAUCCCUUUUUAUUUGUUCAGUUAUGAAAGGUUUGAAUACUGAGUUUUUAUACGCGUUUGAUUUCAGUACUUUUAUGAAAGCUUUGAAUUCAGUGGUUUGUAUGAAACUUUCAAGCUUGAAUAUGACUGAUAUAGAAUGCCUUGAAUUGACUAUGCGUGAUAUAAAAAGUAAGUAAUUAGUUUUAUUUAGCUAAAUUUCUUUUACAAUGGGGGAUAUUAUGUUUAUGAGAAUUGCUUUGAAGAACAUUAUUUUGGUCCACUCACAUUUUCAACUUGUUUUUCGCCCCCAGGCCGUAGAAGUACGCGGGAUCCACCACCGGGCCAAUUAUAGUUUCCGCGCCAAGGUAAAGUUUUGCAGAAAAUCCUUGCAACCUUGAAAACCCUAGAAAAUGCUCUGAUAUCAUGUUGAACAUAAGGAACCGAGGUUGGAAUCUGUUUGUUGACUUAGUCUGGCUGUUGGUAGGGUUUCUGAGAUUGUUUGACAGGUGAAACGUUUUGGGAAUGGUCAAAAUACAGGGGAGACUCUGCCGAAUUUUUGGCAGAAGUCUACGGAAAUUUUAAAGAGAAUUUGAAGUAAGAAGGGUAAAAAGGUCAUUUGUGCCCGACAUUUGCCAGGUGUCGGACACGCACAGGACUUG